CCUACGGGUGACAGCAGUAGGGAAUUUUGCGCAAUGGGCGAAAGCCUGACGCAGCAACGCCGCGUGAUCGAGACGCCCUUCGGGGUGUAAAGAUCUUUCAGGGGGGACGAAACUUGACGGUACCUACAGAGGACGCACCGGCUAACUCCGUGCCAGCAGCCGCGGUAAUACGGAGGGUGCAAGCGUUGUCCGGAAUCAUUGGGUGUAAAGAGUUCGUAGGCGGUAUGUCAAGUCUGGUGUUAAAUGCAGAAGCUCAACUUCUGUUCGGCACUGGAAACUGGCAAACUAGAAUGCGGUAGAGGUAAAGGGAAUUCCUAGUGUAGCGGUGAAAUGCUUAGAUAUCAGGAGGAACAUCGGUGGCGUAAGCGCUUUACUGGGCCGUAAUUGACGCUGAGGAACGAAAGCCAGGGUAGCAAAUGGGAUUAGAUACCCGGGUAGUC
rnacentral:rRNA from 1 species